UGUACCGGAAGGUGCACUUGGAAUAUGUCAGAGUAUAGCUAAGAAGUAUAGCAUCU
rnacentral:tRNA from 1 species